rnacentral:lncRNA from 1 species
AUACAUAUAUAUAUAUAUAUAUAUGUGUGUGUGUGUGUGUGUAAGAAUGAAUGUUAACGGGAUUUUUUUUCUAAGGAAUGCGCUGGAAAAUUUUGAUUUAUAUUUUGCCCGGUAUAUAUUAAUAUCCGUGCUACUACAGAUUCAAAUUGAAAACGGCCACGGAAUGAUUACUGUACUAGGAAAAUUCCGUAAAUUUCUCCGGGUUAAAAAUCCGAUAUGAAAAUUUCUGACGUCUAUGUCGUUUCUCCAUUAGCGUUACACAUAUGUAUUAAAAAAAAACUACUAGCCUUGCAGAAAGUAACCCAUUUAUUGUUACCCGUGGUCGGUAACCACACGAAAUUAUUCCGUCCACGUGCAAAUUUUAAUACUUCCCUAGUAAUAAUUAUAGUUAGCACUCGACCGUUCUCUAUAGUGUUUAACCAGGUAUCGGUCUAUCGAUCGGGACUAAAAUUCGUGUAGUAAGUAGUUUGGCAGGUUUGCGUGUGUGGGAUAGUUUUUUUUUUUAUCGUCUUUACUUUAUCAUUAAUCGAUUCCGUUCAGUUUUUGCGGAUUUCGUGUAUUUACGGACGGUAAAUUCCGUCUGCGGACGUUUUAAGUUAUUUUUUUUCUCUGCGUUUUUUUAAUCCGAAACCAGAUUUUAAUGUCCUUCGAUUCGGUGUUAAGUUUGGAGUUUAAAAAUAAUAUUAUAGUUUAAUCGAUUUUUCUUACUUUCUUAAUAGACGGAGAAUACUUAUCUUGGCACAAUUUUUUUUUUUUUAUUCUGGUUAUCGAACUACUUGGUCGUUUUUCUGAUAGACAUUUUUAAGUUGGGGAAGAAUUUUUGUGAUAGUCGAUGCGCUAGCGAGUGUUCAUUAGCGUCGUUUGUUUUCUCCCAAGUUAAUCGUCUAGGUCCAUAUCCAUAUGUCGGUAAUUAGUCGUUUCCGAAGGGAAUACCGCGAGCCACUUCUAUUAGUCGACUGUUUAUUGACUGUUCUAUCGUUAAUAAGUAGUGGUUGUUUCUCAACUCUCGAUUCUCGUGUUUCAACUGUUUUUAGUUAGCCAGUGAUAUAUAUUUACUGCUAGUUACUGUGCCCCUCAUUUGAGACAGUAUGGUUGCUGUUGGCCAGUUUGGAAGAAGGAAACUACAGUUUAUUCCGCUACAAAAUUCGCCGCGUUUCCGCGCGGAGUAACUUUUCCGGGUUGGCAUCCGUCGGUCCGGAAAAUCUCGGUGGCGCUGUAUCCAUCCAUUGAUUACCACUCCAUCCCACCUCCCAGCAGAUAACCUUCGACUCAUCCGCCCUCCUAUGUUUAUUAUAGGCCGUUACGUAAAAGCGUCUGCAACGAAUUUCCACAUUUUG